rnacentral:rRNA from 1 species
CCGGUUGAUCCUGCCGGACCUGACUGCUAUCGGAUUGAUACUAAGCCAUGCGAGUCUUUGCAGUAAUGCAAGGCAUACGGCUCAGUAACACGUAGUCAACUUACCCUAUGGACGAGGAUAAUCUCGGGAAACUGAGCAUAAUACUCGAUAGAUCAUAAUGCCUGGAAUGGUUUAUGGUUGAAAUGAUUCGUCGCCAUAGGAUGGGACUGCGGCCUAUCAGCUUGUUGGUGAGGUAAUGGCCCACCAAGGCGAUUACAGGUACGGGCUCUGAGAGGAGAAGCCCGGAGAUGGGUACUGAGACAAGGACCCAGGCCCUAUGGGGCGCAGCAGGCGAGAAAACUUUGCAAUGUGCGAAAGCACGACAAGGUUAAUCCGAGUGAUUUCUGCUAAAGAAAUCUUUUGCAAGUCAUAAAACCACUAGUGAAUAAGGGGUGGGCAAGUUCUGGUGUCAGCCGCCGCGGUAAAACCAGCACCUCAAGUGGUCAGGAGGAUUAUUGGGCCUAAAGCAUCCGUAGCCGGCUCUGUAAGUUUUCGGUUAAAUCCAUGUGCUCAACGCAUGGGCUGCCGAAAAUACUGCAUAGCUAGGGAGUGGGAGAGGUAGACGGUACUCGGUAGGAAGGGGUAAAAUCCUUUGAUCUAUCGAUGACCACCUGUGGCGAAGGCGGUCUACCAGAACACGUUCGACGGUGAGGGAUGAAAGCUGGGGGAGCAAACCGGAUUAGAUACCCGGGUAGUCCCAGCUGUAAACGAUGCAGACUCGAUGAUGCAUUGGCAUAUAGCCAGUGCAGUGUCGCAGGGAAGCCGUUAAGUCUGCCGCCUGGGAAGUACGUACGCAAGUAUGAAACUUAAAGGAAUUGGCGGGGGAGCACCACAAGGGGUGAAGCCUGCGGUUCAAUUGGAUUCAACGCCG